rnacentral:misc_RNA from 1 species
GAUGAAGAACGCAGCGAAAUGCGAUAAGUAAUGUGAAUUGCAGAAUUCAGUGAAUCAUCGAAUCUUUGAACGCACCUUGCGCUCCUUGGUAUUCCGAGGAGCAUGCCUGUUUGAGUGUCAUUAAUAUAUCAACCUCUUCAGCUUAUGCUUGUUGAGUGUUGGAUGGUGGGGGUUUGCUGGUGUCUUAUGAAGUCAGCUCCUCUGAAAUGCAUUAGCGGAACAAUUUGUUGACCGUUCAUUGGUAUGAUAAAAAUAUCUACGCUAUUGACGUCAGUCAGUUCAGCUUCUAACAGUCCAUUGACUUGGACAAAUUUUUCAUUAAUGUGACCUCAAAUCAGGUAGGACUACCCGCUGAACUUAAGCAUAUCAAUAAGCGGAGGA